ACAGGCAAAGCUUGAAGGGAAAAAGAGAUGAUCGCAGCGUGACUCCAACUAGUCGCCGGGGAGAGGGAGAGGGAGGGAGAGGGGGGCGCCCAUCACCGUUGCCGCCGAAGCUGCCGCUGCCGCCUUAACUCUUUGCGCCUCGCGCGGCAGCCGCCCAGCAACGCAGCAAGGGCCACGCGCGAAAGAAGAGCGCUCUGGAGUGGGGAGGGGGAGAGGCAGGAGGAGAGGGGAUUCCCCCUCCCCAGAUGGCAGCCGGGAGGAGGGGGAGGGGACAAGGAGGGACGGGGGGAGGAUCCCUCCUCCUCCUCCUCCUCCAACCCGUCCCCUCCCCGCUCAAUUCAAUCCGCAGCCUCGACGGCGCCCAUCAGCUUAGAGCGAGUGAUCUCGAGGGUGCCCGGUCUGCAGCAGAGCGGGCAGGGGGUUGUCUCAGAUGCCAAGCUGCCCAAGGAAAGCAGGGGAGGAGCAUGCCUCUUCCCCAACCCAACUGGUGGGCCGUCCUUCUUUCCUCCCCCCCCCCCACUUCGCCCCAACCACCACGCGUGAGAGUUCUGAAAGCCACCUUUUGGGUAUCCCAUGGAAGUCCCUGCCCGGAGCCUGAACCCCCAGGAGUGGCCGAGGAGGAGAGGAAGAGCGGCUCCUCGUCCCGUCCCACAGGGUAAAGAUUGAAUUGUCCCACAAAUCCUUUGCGUGGUGUACCAAUUGACAUUUGUCCCUACUCGCUCAGGGACAGCUGAAGGAUUGGAGCAGUAACCUCGAGAACUUUGGGGAAAGCGUUUCUCUACAUAUUUUUGUUUGUGCUCAUUAGGGUGAUAAAAGCAGGACAGGCGGUUUCAUUUUCCCCGUUAGUUGUGACUACCGUUCGUGCCAUCCAGGUCAAACGCAAUGUGGAAAGUAAGAAAAUCUGACACCAUCAUUGAUCUGCUCUCCUUGUACUCAUGUCAUCCCCGUACACUAGAGACAAAGAAAUGUGGCUUAAAAAUUGCAAUUAACCAGCAUUGGGGCAGGUGCCUCUCGUUGGCUAUUUAUUCUUUUCAAACUUCAUGUCGUCCUGGAAGCAACACUCAUUCAUAACAUUCAUUCAUCCUUCCAAUAAAAAAAAACAAAAAACAAAAACAUUGCAUGUACAGAUUGCAUGUGCCUGUUCAUAUUCACCUUCUUUUCUUUUUAUUGGAAGCGGGGAAUUUAUGUGUUUAGUGCCUUACGGUUCCUCACAAAGUUUGCUUGAGUCUUGAAUAAAUCUACCCCCCCUCCCCAUUUUAAAAAG